AGGUGGUCAGGUAGAGAAUACCAAGGCGCUUGAGAGAACUCGGGUGAAGGAACUAGGCAAAAUGGUGCCGUAACUUCGGGAGAAGGCACGCUGAUAUGUAGGUGAAGCCCCUGCGGGUGGAGCUGAAAUCAGUCGAAGAUACCAGCUGGCUGCAACUGUUUAUUAAAAACACAGCACUGUGCAAACACGAAAGUGGACGUAUACGGUGUGACGCCUGCCCGGUGCCGGAAGGUUAAUUGAUGGGGUUAUCCGUAAGGAGAAGCUCUUGAUCGAAGCCCCGGUAAACGGCGGCCGUAACUAUAACGGUCCUAAGGUAGCGAAAUUCCUUGUCGGGUAAGUUCCGACCUGCACGAAUGGCGUAAUGAUGGCCAGGCUGUCUCCACCCGAGACUCAGUGAAAUUGAACUCGCUGUGAAGAUGCAGUGUACCCGCGGCAAGACGGAAAGACCCCGUGAACCUUUACUAUAGCUUGACACUGAACAUUGAGCCUUGAUGUGUAGGAUAGGUGGGAGGCUUUGAAGCGUGGACGCCAGUCUGCGUGGAGCCAACCUUGAAAUACCACCCUUUAAUGUUUGAUGUUCUAACGUGGACCCGUAAUCCGGGUUGCGGACAGUGUCUGGUGGGUAGUUUGACUGGGGCGGUCUCCUCCCAAAGAGUAACGGAGGAGCACGAAGGUUAGCUAAUCCUGGUCGGACAUCAGGAGGUUAGUGCAAUGGCAUAAGCUAGCUUGACUGCGAGCGUGACGGCGCGAGCAGGUGCGAAAGCAGGUCAUAGUGAUCCGGUGGUUCUGAAUGGAAGGGCCAUCGCUCAACGGAUAAAAGGUACUCCGGGGAUAACAGGCUGAUACCGCCCAAGAGUUCAUAUCGACGGCGGUGUUUGGCACCUCGAUGUCGGCUCAUCACAUCCUGGGGCUGAAGUAGGUCCCAAGGGUAUGGCUGUUCGCCAUUUAAAGUGGUACGCGAGCUGGGUUUAGAACGUCGUGAGACAGUUCGGUCCCUAUCUGCCGUGGGCGCUGGAGAAUUGAGGGGGGCUGCUCCUAGUACGAGAGGACCGGAGUGGACGCAUCACUGGUGUUCGGGUUGUCAUGCCAAUGGCAUUGCCCGGUAGCUAAAUGCGGAAGAGAUAAGUGCUGAAAGCAUCUAAGCACGAAACUUGCCCCGAGAUGAGUUCUCCCUGAGACUUUAAGUCUCCUGAAGGAACGUUAAAGACGAUGACGUUGAUAGGUCGGGUGUGUAAGCGUAGCGAUACGUUGAGCUAACCGAUACUAAUGAACCGUGAGG
rnacentral:rRNA from 1 species